GCGUCUUUAGAACAACUUCUUUAGCAUAUGCAUUGGUUAACAUAACAUUUUGGUACCCCUAUUUUUACAUUUGAUUUAUUAUCCAGAACCUGACAACUGAUAAACGCACAUGUCGUCUGCGCGUCUCCCUCCUCUACAUUUAGUGUCUACGUUGAUUAACUAAGAUGGAAAAUCAAGAUACUUCACAUUGUCCUCCGUCAUCUCUCCGGCCUCCGCCUUUACAACAACCUCAGCGGCCACCUCCUUCACAACUUCCGCCGCCUGAACAGGAGAGACGCAAUACCGCGAGAUUUAAGACCUGUUCGGGGUCGCAGAGUUGCCCAUCAUGAAUCACGAAAUGCUGAUGUAAGGAUUAAUCCUUAUUUCACAGAAAUUUGGAAAAUUCCACGGUGUUUAUUGCUAAAUUUAUUAGUGCUAUCAACAAAGAAACUGAGAAUGAUUUAAUUAAUAGAAGAAAUAGACAACAUCAAGAGGAAGAUAGAGAGUGAAAUUGUAGUUAUACAAAAAAUAAACACCUCAGUAAAAUAUAUUUAGUUUGUUAAUUAUAAACAUAAUGUUUAUUUAUACUUAUUUCUACUACUUACUAAUACUUACUUCUAAAUGUAUAAAUAAAUAAAAUUAUAAUUUAUAUUUA